rnacentral:sRNA from 1 species
AGAUAAGUUUUUAAACAAAACGAUAGAUAGGGGUCUGGUGUUGCAUUUUCAGUUCUCGUCCACAACUUCACCUAGCUCAGGUGUUUGCAUCCGUUGAAGGAAUUGAGUUCUGAAACAGUAGGAAAAUAGAAAAAUUAAAAAUAACCAAGACCAAAAUUUUAAAAAAUACAAUAAACAGUUAAGGGAUAAUAAAAAUAUAAACGUUCUUACCUGACGCGAUCCAUGUUAAUUUCUGGGUAACUUUGAUUGAAUGUAAUUCUUGAAGCACCAUUAUGUGAGAUUAGACAUUGACGACCUAAAAUAUUAAUGUUUUUAUUAUAUGAAGUAGCUAUAUAAAUUAUAGAUAAGAUAAAAUGAGUCUUAAAUAUACCUUCAUGAUCAUCAACAUUCCAAAAUCGUAGCACACAGAUUGUAGGAUUCAUACCAAAGUUCCAAUGAUAACCAAGUUCUAUACCAAAUUCCCUCCAUAAUUGCACAAACAACUCACAAGUAUAUCCGCUUGCAACACAUAUCAGAGAUUUACCCCUAAUAACAAUAUCAAAUUAUUCCACCAAACAUCUAAGUUCUAUGAAUUAAACCAACUAUAAAGAUAACAAUAUUUACUAUGUUUGUGCAUUCAAAUAUAUAACCAAAUAGAUGACGAACUAUAUAGUGGAAAAUACUAACCAAGAAUUUUUAAUCUCAAAUUCGAGAAAUUGAGAAAGUAUAGGAUUUUCUGAAGCUUGAGGGACAAAGUCCAGUCUUGUUAUAUUCCCAACUCUGACGACAAUACCAUAAGCAUCUACAAACAAAAAAAACGAUAAUAUGAAAGAUUAAUAUUUUCAAAAAAAUAGACUUUAUAUUAGUGAAAAAUCUAAAUAAGAAAGUUACCAUGGACAGUUGAAGAAUCAAUAGUCUUGUUUUCGAUCAUAGAGAAGGCAACAAAUCGGAAAAAGUUACUUGAUUCUCUAUUAGGCACAGGAGACAUUUUGGUAGUCUGAAUGAACUUGAUUCUCAACUUAUUAUCGGUUAAGGGAGGUUUUCUACCGCCGCCUGAUUUGAUCAAAGGUAUGUUUUCCAAGAAACCAACCUCCUUCAUUGAGAACUGUAGGGACGUCAUAUCCAAUGUAGAAAUAAGCACAAAUGGCAUCAAUCAUUGUGCCCUAAAAAAAAAAUUGACUUAUGAAUUAUUAAUAGAUUAGAUCCAAAAAACAAAUUACCAUCUCGUCGCACAAGAUCAUUUGGUAACACUUCCCACCCUCAUGAGGAAGUGUUAUCCACCAACAUAGUAGCUUCACAAAAACCUUUCAAUUUUUUUUUUUUGAGAAAGUUGAAAUAGAUAUGAGAUACCUUUAAAAUAACCACCUCUAUCAUCUCUCAACAUCUUUUUCUUUUUGAAACUAAUAGGGUAGAAGAAAGAUGUCGAAGGUAAAUAAUGGAUGAAAAUAAGAGAGGAGGUUACCUUUUUUUCAGGUUGUGUCCUUUGACAGUUUAGAAUAUUACUUGUAUAUUAAAUAGAAAAAGUUAAAUGUCAUGCAAAUCUUGUCAAUCGAAUUUGGAAUCUCGAUGGUAAAUUAUAGUGCUUUUUAUGGUUACUUACGAAAUUUAAUAAAUUUUGAAAGAACCAAAAUGUGACAUAAGUUGUCAUAUCUCUUGGAUGAGUUGACUAAUCUUGUUAUCAAUCUUGGAAAAGAUGGAAAGAAAAGAUGUGAACAAUAGAUUUAAUUGAGAAAGCAAGUCUCAUAAAUAGAUUGAAGAGAAUAUAGAUGUUAAUAUUUGUAUCUACUCAAUAAAAUCUACUUUAUUACUCCAGAAAAUAUGUAUGAGAGCAAAAUAUAUUUAGAAUAAACUGAUCUAUAUAUAUAUAUAUAUAUUACAUUCCUUAGAAAUUAAAUUCUAACUGUUAUAUAUGUAUCGAUUAUUUUUAAGUCACAAAAGUAAUGAUGUGACUUUCAUCUAUAUCCAAAAAGAAACUUUAAAAGGAGUACCUAGGUUUUCAAAAUCAAUAUUAUUUUAAUACGAGAGACAAGAUACUGAAAGAUAAUGCUUUUGUAGGGUUAUAAAUAUAAAGAGUCCAAAUAUUUAAGAUUACUUUUUGUAUAGGACAAUGACAUUGAGUUGAAAAGAAAUGAACUUAAUAAUAAAUGAUCCUUAUGUUUCCAAGAAUGAUUUAUCUCAAAGUUUUUAAUGUUUUAUUCUUGAUACCCAAUAAUUUUAAUUUCCUU